UAAGCCAGGCAGUCGUCAUCUGCAUGGCUCUUAUCGCCCUGUCUCUGCUCCUAUAGCAUGUCCCAUUAAGCCCUGCUUAAAGUAUUCACAAAGUCCACAUUGCACCAAGAAGCAGCUUGGUCAAAGCCUGUCAUAGCAAUACCCUGCUCCUUGGUACCAACUUCUAUCUUAGUCAAUGUUUUGUGUUUUAUUGCAAUGAAGAGAUACCAUAAUCAAGGUGGCUUUUAUAAAAGCAUUUAAUUCGGGGCUGCCUUACAAUUUCAGGGGUUUAGUCCAUUAUCACAAUGGCAGGAGAACAUUGUGGCAUACAUGGUGCUGGAACAGUAGCUAAAAGCUACAUCUUGAGCUGCAGGCUGAGAGGGAAACACUGAGCUAGGCAUGGACCUUUGAAACCCCAGGGUCCUUUACCCUCCAACACAGCUGUACCUUGUAAGCAGUCAAAAGAUGCAGGCCUGUGGGGACCAUUCAUAUUCAAACCACAGUACUUUGAAUCAUGUUCAAAGUAGUCAAACUUCAGCUUCAUUUAAAAAAAAAAAAAAAAAA
rnacentral:lncRNA from 1 species